rnacentral:rRNA from 1 species
UAGGGAAUCUUCGGCAAUGGGGGGAACCCUGACCGAGCAACGCCGCGUGAGUGAAGAAGGUUUUCGGAUCGUAAAGCUCUGUUGUUAAGGAAGAACGAGUGUGAGAAUGGAAAGUUCAUGCUGUGACGGUACUUAACCAGAAAGGGACGGCUAACUACGUGCCAGCAGCCGCGGUAAUACGUAGGUCCCGAGCGUUGUCCGGAUUUAUUGGGCGUAAAGCGAGCGCAGGCGGUUAGAAAAGUCUGAAGUGAAAGGCAGUGGCUCAACCAUUGUAGGCUUUGGAAACUUUUUAACUUGAGUGCAGAAGGGGAGAGUGGAAUUCCAUGUGUAGCGGUGAAAUGCGUAGAUAUAUGGAGGAACACCGGUGGCGAAAGCGGCUCUCUGGUCUGUAACUGACGCUGAGGCUCGAAAGCGUGGGGAGCGAACAGG